rnacentral:rRNA from 1 species
CACGUAGGGGCAAGCGUUGUUCGGAUUUAUUGGGCGUAAAGAGCUCGUAGGCGGUUCGGCAAGUCGGGUGUGAAACCCCCAGCUCAACCUGGGGACGCCGACCCGAUACUGCUGUGACUUGAGUCCGGUAGGGGAGCGUGGAAUUCCUGGUGUAGCGGUGAAAUGCGCAGAUAUCAGGAGGAACACCAGCGGCGAAGGCGGCGCUCUGGCCGGAACUGACGCUGAGGAGCGAAAGCGUGGGUAGCAACAGG